rnacentral:rRNA from 1 species
UAUUGGACAAUGGGCGCAAGCCUGAUCCAGCCAUGCCGCGUGAGUGAUGAAGGCCCUAGGGUUGUAAAGCUCUUUUGUGCGGGAAGAUAAUGACGGUACCGCAAGAAUAAGCCCCGGCUAACUUCGUGCCAGCAGCCGCGGUAAUACGAAGGGGGCUAGCGUUGCUCGGAAUCACUGGGCGUAAAGGGUGCGUAGGCGGGUCUUUAAGUCAGAGGUGAAAUCCUGGAGCUCAACUCCAGAACUGCCUUUGAUACUGAGGAUCUUGAGUUCGGAGAGGUGAGUGAACUGCGAGUGAGAGGUAAAUUCGAGUUUCGCAAGACACCAGUGGCGAGGCGGCUACUGCCCGUCUGCGUGGAC